GACGAACGCUGGCGGCGUGCCUAAUACAUGCAAGUAGAACGCUGAAGAGAGGAGCUUGCUCUUCUUGGAUGAGUUGCGAACGGGUGAGUAACGCGUAGGUAACCUGCCUUGUAGCGGGGGAUAACUAUUGGAAACGAUAGCUAAUACCGCAUAACAAUGGAUGACUCAUGUCAUUUAUUUGAAAGGGGCAAAUGCUCCACUACAAGAUGGACCUGCGUUGUAUUAGCUAGUAGGUGAGGUAACGGCUCACCUAGGCGACGAUACAUAGCCGACCUGAGAGGGUGAUCGGCCACACUGGGACUGAGACACGGCCCAGACUCCUACGGGAGGCAGCAGUAGGGAAUCUUCGGCAAUGGGGGCAACCCUGACCGAGCAACGCCGCGUGAGUGAAGAAGGUUUUCGGAUCGUAAAGCUCUGUUGUAAGUCAAGAACGAGUGUGAGAGUGGAAAGUUCACACUGUGACGGUAGCUUACCAGAAAGGGACGGCUAACUACGUGCCAGCAGCCGCGGUAAUACGUAGGUCCCGAGCGUUGUCCGGAUUUAUUGGGCGUAAACGAGCGCAGGCGGUUUGAUAAGUCUGAAGUUAAAGGCUGUGGCUCAACCAUAGUUCGCUUUGGAAACUGUCAAACUUGAGUGCAGAAGGGGAGAGUGGAAUUCCAUGUGUAGCGGUGAAAUGCGUAGAUAUAUGGAGGAACACCGGUGGCGAAAGCGGCUCUCUGGUCUGUAACUGACGCUGAGGCUCGAAAGCGUGGGGAGCGAACAGGAUUAGAUACCCUGGUAGUCCACGCCGUAAACGAUGAGUGCUAGGUGUUGGAUCCUUUCCGGGAUUCAGUGCCGCAGCUAACGCAUUAAGCACUCCGCCUGGGGAGUACGACCGCAAGGUUGAAACUCAAAGGAAUUGACGGGGGCCCGCACAAGCGGUGGAGCAUGUGGUUUAAUUCGAAGCAACGCGAAGAACCUUACCAGGUCUUGACAUCCCGAUGCUAUUUCUAGAGAUAGAAAGUUACUUCGGUACAUCGGUGACAGGUGGUGCAUGGUUGUCGUCAGCUCGUGUCGUGAGAUGUUGGGUUAAGUCCCGCAACGAGCGCAACCCCUAUUGUUAGUUGCCAUCAUUCAGUUGGGCACUCUAGCGAGACUGCCGGUAAUAAACCGGAGGAAGGUGGGGAUGACGUCAAAUCAUCAUGCCCCUUAUGACCUGGGCUACACACGUGCUACAAUGGUUGGUACAACGAGUUGCGAGUCGGUGACGGCAAGCUAAUCUCUUAAAGCCAAUCUCAGUUCGGAUUGUAGGCUGCAACUCGCCUACAUGAAGUCGGAAUCGCUAGUAAUCGCGGAUCAGCACGCCGCGGUGAAUACGUUCCCGGGCCU
rnacentral:rRNA from 1 species